rnacentral:rRNA from 1 species
UUAUUAUAUCUCCACUAAUAAGCAGAGAGGAGUAAAAUCUUCAAAGUAAGUUAUGUGGGUCAAGGUAUAGUGAUUAAUUGGAGUUCUAGUUCAUUUACUUUGAGAAAAUUAGAGUGUUUAAAGCAGCCUCGUUGGGGCACUGAAUACAUUAGCAUGGGAUAAUAAAAUAGGAUCUUCACAAUAUUAUUUUAUUGGUUUAAAUUGCGUAUGAAGAUAAUGAUUAAUAGGGACAGGUUGGGGGUAUUCAUAUUGGGUGGUUAGCGGUGAAAUGCUCGGAUCCAUUCAAGAUGAACUAAAGCGAAAGCAUUUACCAAGGAUGUUUUCAUUAAUCAAGAACGAAAGUUAAGGGGAUCGAAGACGAUUAGAUACCGUCGUAGUCUUAACUAUAAACUAUGCCGACCAGGG